GGGCUGCGAGUUGCCCGCUGGGGACCGAGGUGGUGUGCAAGGCUCUGGCACCACAUCCUUGAUUUUGUUGGCGGGUGUGGGCUACCCUUGGCUGGAUGAACUCCAGGAUACCCAGCUGCUGAUGGGCCAGCCGCAGCGAGAGACUGCGAGCGUGGCUGGGCCCGGCAUGGCCUCUCCGGGUUUUAGUGGCGCCCCGGCCAGGAGCUCCGGGGCAGCCGGAUUUAGGAUCUACGGAAACAACCGCCUUACACUCUAUGGUGGCAUCGCCGGAGGCACAAACUGGCUUUCUCUUAGCGUCCCGGUCACUUAGUCUCCAGUGGAGUUCCACUCCCUGGGAGAGCUGGUUCACGGCAACCGAUAGAGAAGGUCACCUGAAUGAAAACUAGCUUUUCUUUUUUUUUCUUUUUGUAUUCCCCACCCUCCUGCGCCCUGUUCCCCUGAUGGAGGGGCAUGGUGGAAACCUGUCCACACGGCUAACAACCUCCGGAUUGUAGAAGAUGAGGGUUCAAGCUUUCGUGGGGCAGAAGUGAGGGGAGCGCGGGGUUCCCUGGAGCCGGACAAAGGCGCACCGCAGGGAAGGCAGCCGCACUCAAGGUUGGCCUGUCCUCUGGUUUUACAACAAAGAGCUUUGAGUUUUGUCCGCGGGGACUCGUCCAGAGCUUCCAGACCUGGACCGGGUAUCUGGAAGAAUACACCAAAAGCCUCAGGAGUGUCCGGGGACAACCAUGCCGGACCAGGCAGGCCAACCCGGUGGGUUGCCCGGGAAUUGCGUCCUUGGACUUCGCGGAGGUCCCCCACGAUUUUCUCUCCAGUCAGUACAACACACACACACACACACACACACACACACACACACACACUGCGUCAACAGAAUUUUUCUGGCCACGGAUCCCACCGGGUAAACAAGCGUGGGGGAUGGGACGCGGAAGAUGGCGCUUGGACUCUUGGUCCCUGCGGUUGUCUCCAGCUCAGUUUCAGGACGAAUAUACAGGGCUUUUGUAGAUAAAGUGUGGCCCAGCCCGGCUUGGAGGUUAUUUCCCCAGACCUGGAGACUCUCUGAAGUGGUGGUGUAGUGUAGCCUCUGCUUCUCUAGAAAUGUCCCCACGCCCCAACAUGGCUCCCGACCACUGUUAAAUGUGGGGGACACAGGGACAAGGAGACCUGGCCUGUGCACCGCACGUUGUACUUGGCAGCCUUGAGAGUUGCAGGGGUUUGCUCAGUGUUCCCCUCCCGGGGGCCAGGGAUCGGGGCCACCGUUCCCCAGGUUCAGCGCACCCGGUGGCCUGAGGGCCGAGUGGCAGGUCGAGAGGGGACUGGGGAGCCGAGCCGUACAUUCCAGAGGGGAGCGGGUCGAGUUCCGCCCCAACCUCAGCCCUAAUGAAACUCUGGGUCGGUCGGUAUGCCACGCCGACGGGGCGCACACUUGAAAAAUGCAAACGCCAUCGGCAAAUCCGGGGCAAAUUGGAAUAAUUUUUUAUUAGCAGCUAAAUGAUUUAUGGCACACAUACCCCGCCGUCACAAUUACGGCGUCUUGGAGCAUCCAGGGGUGAAAACAUUAAACAUUUAUAAAAACAG
rnacentral:lncRNA from 1 species